rnacentral:lncRNA from 13 species
UAUCCCGGCUUGUAGUAAACGAUUAAAAAUAAUGCGCAAAUCGGUAAUAUGUUUUUUUUCGUUUUUGGAAGCUAUGAGAAUAUCGUCAAGAUAGCAAAAAGCAAAAUUUAAAUCAUUGAGCAAUAAGCUCAUUAAGCUUUGAAAAGUUUCAGCCGCGUUACGAACACCAAAAGGCAUGACCAAAAAUUCAAAAAGUCUAAAAGGUGUGGUAACAGCGAUCUUGUAAAUAUCCUCCUUAGCAACGGGUACUUGAUAAUACGCUUUAACUAAGUCAAUCUUGGAGAAGACCUUCUUACCAUAAAGUCCAGAAGUGAAAUCUUAAAUAUGAGGCAGUGGGUGACAAUCAGGAAUAGUGACCGAAUUUAACGCAGGAUAAUCACAACAAAGUCUCCAAAUAUUUUCCAAUUUGGAAAUCAUAUACAGAGGAGCUGUCCAAAUACUACCCGAAGGUCUACAAAUUCUUUGUUCCAUCAUGAACUUGAAUUCCUCCUUGGCAAACUUGAAUUUUUCCGGAGAAAGUCUUCUGGGAACUAAAAAUUUAAGAGAUUCUUCAGUGAUGAUACGAUGUUCAAAUCCAUGAGAUUUCACCGAAGAAAGAGGAGCAAAUCGAAUUGACUAGAAGAUCUGCCAUGGCGAUAAGAAACUUCAAGCGCAGCGAUUCUUUGUUCCAAAUCAGAAAAAACCGAUUGUUUAGAGGUUGAUUACGUAUUAAUUUUUGCAAUUUGAAAACCAUUAUCACAUUCAACAAUUUUAUCCGCAAGUUCCGAGAGCUUGACUAAUGGUACGUUUUCGACAACAGCAAAAGUUGCUUGAACUCUAUAUGGCGGAUUUUUAACAAUAUCCGAUAUCGCUACCGACUAAAGCUUGUUCAUCGAGAUGACGAAUAACGGAACUAUAUUUAAUAUCUUGUGAACGGAUACGCUAUACAGUAAAUUCAUUCUCAAUCUGAGCAAACCACAGCUUGGGCUGCUUAUGCCAAAAGGUUGGAAAAUUUAACAGUCGAAAUUUAUUAGAAUGGAUCUGAGUGGGCUCACCCGAUGAUUGAUGCCCGAAGAAAAAUUUAAAAUUUCCGUUCCGACCUGUUGUUGAAGAUUUACAGUCGACGCUGAAGUUGAAGUGGUCAAAGUCGACGGUGUUGACUCAGAUUUAACCGGAGUUCUGUCCACAGGUAUUUUAUUAAUGGUCUGAUGCUUCCAGAGAAGAGUCAAGACGAUCCAGAAAUCAAAACUCAAAGAUUCUUGAAGACAUCAUAAGGCACUCCAAAAAUCAAACUUCCUGCGACAAAAAAUAUUUUAGCACAUACCGUUAUCACGUCGAGGUCACCAAAAAUGUAGCGACUUAUUGAAUAAAUUACUAGAUUUAUAUUUAAUAAAGAGAUAUUUGUUGAGACAUGUAAACGUGUUGACAGACAGAAUGAAAGUGAAGGAAAAGUUUAUAACAACAGAUGUUUAGUGUGUGGCUAUUAUAGGUAAUAAAAUAUAAUUGAACAUCUUGACAAGAAAAUCGAUAACGAGUGUAGAAAGUGUAAGGUGUAAGUGUAAGUGAAAAGAACGCCACAAGCACGGCAAUGUGGCAAGCACAGGACAACGGCCCGCGGUACCGCGCGCAAACAAGCGCGCGCCUGAGUCACGGCCAAGCACAAGUACGUGAAGUAGCACGCGCGCUACACGUAAAUCAAAUUUCUACGUACACCCAAGGACUUUGAUUCUGUCCAUGGGGAAAUUUUCCAAA